CGAACGGGUGAGUAAUGUAUCGGAACGUGCCCAGUCGUGGGGGAUAACUGCUCGAAAGAGCAGCUAAUACCGCAUACGACCUGAGGGUGAAAGCGGGGGAUCGCAAGACCUCGCGCGAUUGGAGCGGCCGAUAUCAGAUUAGGUAGUUGGUGAGGUAAAGGCUCACCAAGCCGACGAUCUGUAGCUGGUCUGAGAGGACGACCAGCCACACUGGGACUGAGACACGGCCCAGACUCCUACGGGAGGCAGCAGUGGGGAAUUUUGGACAAUGGGCGCAAGCCUGAUCCAGCCAUGCCGCGUGCGGGAAGAAGGCCUUCGGGUUGUAAACCGCUUUUGUCAGGGAAGAAAAGGUUCUGGCUAAUACCUGGGACUCAUGACGGUACCUGAAGAAUAAGCACCGGCUAACUACGUGCCAGCAGCCGCGGUAAUACGUAGGGUGCAAGCGUUAAUCGGAAUUACUGGGCGUAAAGCGUGCGCAGGCGGUUAUGCAAGACAGAGGUGAAAUCCCCGGGCUCAACCUGGGAACUGCCUUUGUGACUGCAUGGCUAGAGUACGGUAGAGGGGGAUGGAAUUCCGCGUGUA
rnacentral:rRNA from 1 species